UAGGUAACCGACCCGCAGUGAUGCCAAUCCAAAAGUCUUUGGUUAGAUCUGGCCGUAGAAUAUUUUUGCUGGUGGCUGAACGCAACAACAAAAUUCAGUCGUUUUAGCCUACAUGCAGUGUAAAUCAAUGAAGUUGUUAUUACUAUUGACAUAUAUGAGAACGGAGAAACGGUUUUCUUGAUGCAGUCCCAUGAUCGACAGCAAUAGAGUCUACAAUCACCCCUUGCUGUGUGUUGCGAAAGCUGACGCUCUCUUUGUUCACCUUUUGUGCUAAAUCAAUUAUAUCAAGAUGCCAGAAACAAGCCAAAUUUACGCAGAUGUUCAGAAAGCACUGGGUAACACAAAUUUAAAGUGAUGCAAACAGUGUUGGUUGCAAGUUUUGUCCAUCAGCGUUGAGAACAAAACUUUGACAAAAGUGGAUGCAAAAUGUAAAAUGCAUCUGGCAAACAGUGACACAUUCUCUAUUUUAAAGUUAAUUACCUCAUCUUCGGGGGACGUAGCCCCCCGAUGAUGAUUACUUCAAAGUUGCUCAAUGUUAACUUAAUAAAAGUAGAAAAUAGAAGGAAUGAGACGCAUUUAGCUUUGCUGUGAUUCUUGGCCACUGGCGCUGUCUGGUUCUGACAGAAAGUCUUCUUCCGCGACUUUCCUGCGCUGCCUUAGGGCGCGAGGGCUCGGCAACGCUGGGCGUUGGCAACGCUGCGGCCGCACCAAAGCAACCGCCGUGUCUUUGGGGGAAAAUCCAAAACCCUUAAAAGAAGAAAGAAGAAGACGACAUUGGGGAAACUCGUGUCUGAGCCUCCUGCAGAGUACGGGAUCUCAUCUCAAAGAGGGGACCUACUUACAUUUUCUGCUGCUUCAGUUCCCUCAGUAGCAGUGGCAACUGAUUAUUCUGUUGCAAAGAGCAAAAGUUCCAGGGCUGCACUUGAACAGUCUGUCAUUCAGGAUGGAUGCCUCCUCUGCCAUCCUCCCCAGCAUUGCCCUAAUUAGUGGUAA